UUUCACUCAUUCACAGGUAUUUCUGUGGUGCUGAUGGCUGGAAUAGUAUGCUUUUCCCUUUGUGGAGUUUCCAUCGAGGUGUCAGGCAUCAAGCAGUUAACCACAGCACGACAAGCACCAUGAAGGAAAAUACAUCACAGAACAGUACUGAGGACAUCACAGAAAAAAAUUAUUUUAUUUUAGGAGAACAAGGAAAACCUCUCUGAAAAUAUUUCUGCUAAGAUGAAAAGGUAGAUAGGAGUUAAUCAGACAACAAGUUAGGCAGAGAACAUUCCAGGCCAAAGAAACAUGACAGAAGGUAUUUGGCACUGUCCAGGCACUGAAGAAAGAAAUGAGAACCACGUGGAAUGAAGGGGAGAGCAGGGGGCUCAGCACACAACGGAUAAGUGGGCUAUGGGUGGGUUAUGUAUGUCCCUGUAAGUCCUUUUGAGGAUCCUGUGUUUCCAUUUGAAUGCUAAAGAGGCAGAGAAGUGGCAUAUGAUGUGCCCUAACAUUUUAUAAGGACACCUAAAUGUCUGUCCUGAGGCAAGUGGCAUAUAGGAAAAGAAAGAGUGAAGACAGAACCCAAGCAGGGGGCUGUGACAAUACUUCAGGCAGCAGAAAAUGAUGGCUUGGACUAGGGAGACGGCUGUGGACACAGGAAGAAGGGGUAGACUGCACAUUUGUUUUCACUUUAGGAUCAAUGGGACUCGACUUCAACAUUGAGGAUGAAGAAAGAAAUUUCCGCUGGUGUCGACCUACCGACCUACCGUGGAUAUAGUGGAGAUUUGUUUUGGUUUUUUGUUUUGCUUCCAAGCACCUGAUUUCCUUCCUAUUUGGACACUCACAUUUUGCAUUCUUUAGUGAGAAGCAAGUCCCCACCUACCACUGUGCAGGAAGCCUAAGGGUGCCAGACAUCUCUUUCCCCACAUGCUAUCAUCCACAGCAAGGUCGCACAACCUACGCGCAGCCAACCUUCUUGACAAGGGACUCAAGUGUG
rnacentral:lncRNA from 1 species